GCUUCUACAACUGGAAGACACAGGUGUCCGUGUCCAACUCCAGCCCCAACUUCGAGGUGCUGUAUGAAGACCCCAACGGCCUUCUCUUCAAGAACAAGAGGGACAAGAAGAUCCUGAGUGUGGACCCCUCGUCCGGACCUGGUGAGGACUCCAGCAGGACAUUCCUCCAGACGGACCUCCACGUCCAUGUCGUCAUCUACGACCACAACAUCAGAACGGUCUGAGCUUCAGAGGCCGCUGCCGACACGUCCCUACAUAUGGCUCGUAUCGGAGCGCGCGCUGGAAGCCUCUAAUUUGACCGAGUCGCUGUAGUUGCACCGUCAUUUACAAACUGUUCCUCUCAUAUCAUGCGCGCCAUCUGGGUGGAGGUGCUGCAGUAAAAAGGGACUUGAAACGGAGGAUUCCCAGAGGAAGGAGUGGGCGGACGGGUGCGACAACUUCAAUGUUUCCUGCCAAAUAACUUGUGAUGUUGAAUUUAUAUCCAGAUUUUAAGACAAUUCGGCUCCAAAAUAAACCAAUCAAAUCAAUGUCUUUGUAUUUCACGCAGAUGAUAUUAGUGCAGACCCGGUUUGGCUCAGUUUGUUUGGCGGUCCCUGAGCAGGAGUCGGAGUCAGGGGCCAGGAACCUGCUCAGGGACCCCGGGCUCCUUCCCUGGUCUGGCCUGCCGUGUUUUGGGCUGUUUGUCUAAACAAAUUAAAGGCGUAAGAGCUUUGAAAGAUGGGGGGGGGGGGGGGGGGUGCUUUUAUGUCCUCCCCCAGGCUGCGGUAGCUCCAAUUGGACUGGGAGAAUGGGUAAUGGGCUUAAAGCAUUCCGCAUGUUCCCAGAUGCAGGGCACACGUUCCAGGACAUCAAAGUGCUCCAUCAUUUACAUAUUAGUCAUUCACUGUGACAGUUUGCAGAGGAAGACCACGGCUCCUUUAGGAAUGAUUGAGGAAGAGUUUGAGCCGCUGAUUCACUUUUAAUUCUGUAUUUGAUUUUUUCUGAAACAUCUGUUCCACCACGAAUAAAAUGAUGUGUCUGACAAAU